rnacentral:tRNA from 1 species
UGAUGUGGCUCAGUUGGUAGAGCAGCUGAUUCGUAAUCAGCAGGUCGCGAGUUCAAGUCUCGCCAUCA